CCACAGGACCACUCGCCAUGUGUAUUAAGCGUAUAGAAUCGUGUGUUGGAAAUUGCUCGUUCGUCACAUUUCGUAGCGGCAUUACGCUAAAUCUUCGUCCGUCUGCGAGUGAUCCUCAAGAUAUGUGUUCAAACAAAUAAAAAAGGAACGUCGAGACAGUCGUGGAAAUUCACGCAGCUCACGGCUUUACGACAUCGCCACCGACGAGAGAGCUCAAGGUUCUCUCUCGCCCCGCUAUGGGCCGGCCAUUCAUGAAGUGCGGCUGAGUGAGGCGCGGAGGCUACAGCGCAGCGGGCACGGGAAGAUGUUUAUAGCGGCGCUAAAUGACCGACGAUUAUUGAUGCGAGCUCUAAACGCCGAGGGCCACAUACCACCAGUGAAGCGUUCGCGCGCAAGGUUCAUUCCUCGAGUGACUUCUGUAAGAACAGGAUCCAAUCUACAUGCAUGUACGACAUCGGGUAGAUUCUGACGACAUAAGUAUCCAGAAGCUGCUUCUCUCUGGGCAAUAUCAUGAUGCAUAAACUACACAAGUGGUGGCUUUUAGCAGCAAUCCUCAUAUGCGUGGUUGCACGUGGUCAGAUGUUCCCUACCUCUGGGAUGGAACAUCCAACUAAACAACAGUUGAAUGAUAUUAUGGCAAGUGCUGGCAGUAUCGACAGACGUACGCAAUCCACUCUGGAUGACAAGGCGCCAAUGCCGUCUUCUUCGGUGAACGAUGGAAGCAAACAACAAAACGGAGAUGUGGAACGCGUUCUUGCCAUUCUGAGUGACAGAGCGAAGAAGGACGUGAUAAGUGAUAGAGCAAAAAGGGACAUGUUAUGGAACUAUGUGGAUCUGUUACUGAGAGCAUACCAGCUGGAGAAAACCAGAGCCAGAACCGACCAGUCUAGCAAAAUUGUUCAUCUUCGAAAUAAAUGCGAAACUGUGUUGACUAAACAGCAGAAGAUAGACUGCAUCAGAGGCAUACUUGUUGCUGAUGUGUUGCAGAAUAACAGUGCAAAGCGUGUGUCACAGGCUGUACGUGAUCCCAACCGUCCCAUACCAAAACAAAGGCGGCAGGUCACAAGCCAUGAGUUGGAAAGGCAGUUAUUUCAGCAACGGCAGAAAGCAGACCUUCUCCACCGUGAAACUCUGCUGUUUUUAGAAUUUUUGAAUUUUUCUCCCGUGUAACACUCUCAAUAGUUUUUACAAUUUAUUUAUAAUAUUAAAACUAAAACCUAAUUUGCAAAACUGUUCCUUCUAGUCUAAGUGCAUAUAAAUAGAAGUAGUGUGUAUAGCUGGUACGUACUGAUAUGUUAGGUAGGGCAACAUUCCAAAAAGUAUGAAUUCACUCCUGAUGUGCCAUACUUGAUUAAAAUAAAUGUUUGACACAGACAA